rfam:Asian citrus Psyllid, Diaphorina citri - Florida Strain, whole genome shotgun sequence.
GCCUAGUUAGCCUGGAGGACAGCGCGUCUGCCUUGUAAGCGAUAGGCCGCGGGUUCGAUUCCCGCAUGGGGCU